rnacentral:rRNA from 1 species
CAGUCGCCACGGUAAUACGAAGGGGGCUAGCGUUGCUCGGAAUGACUGGGCGUAAAGGGCGCGUAGGCAGUUCGUACAGUCGGAUGUGAAAUUCCUGGGCUUAACCUGGGGGCUGCAUUCGAUACGUGCGGGCUUAAGUGUGGAAGAGGGUCGUGGAAUUCCCAGUGUAGAGGUGAAAUUCGUAGAUAUUGGGAAGAACACCGGUGGCGAAGGCGGCAACCUGGUCCUUGACUGACGCUGAGGCGCGAAAGCGUGGGGAGCAAACAGGAUUAGAUACCCCGGUAGUCCCUGUCUCUUAUAC